GACGAAGGGGGCAAGCGUUGUUCGGAUUUACUGGGCGUAAAGCGCACGUAGGCGGAUUUUUAAGUCAGGGGUGAAAUCCCGGGGCUCAACCCCGGAACUGCCUUUGAUACUGGAAGUCUUGAGUAUGGUAGAGGUGAGUGGAAUUCCGAGUGUAGAGGUGAAAUUCGUAGAUAUUCGGAGGAACACCAGUGGCGAAGGCGGCUCACUGGACCAUUACUGACGCUGAGGUGCGAAAGCGUGGGGAGCAAACAGGAUUAGAAACCCCAGUAGU
rnacentral:rRNA from 1 species